rnacentral:lncRNA from 1 species
CUUGUGUUAGCCAUGCCAACCGGCUUGCCCAUCCCAGGCCUUGGUGGCCUCCAAAAGUCCUUUUAAACUUCAGUCCCUUCAGCUGACAGGCCCCUGCUCACUCAGGCCAGGACUGGAUUGUACUGGAGUCCUGGACAGUGGCCAUCAGUGGUAAAGGUCAGGCCUUGCUCGGCUGCAGAGAACAUAUAGUUUAUGACAGAGCAUGCAGCAGAAACUUCCAGUCAGGAAAGUGAUACACAACAUUCCACAUGAACAGGAACCAUCAGGAGGUUCUUUCCUAACAGAGCAAAUUGAUGUAUCCUCUCUAUGAAACCUGCAACAAAGUUGGAGUUGGAUGGAUCAGUAGGCUGAUCUUGGGGAAGCCUUGAGCUGCCAACCAGAGACAUUGGAGGUGACAAGGUAGGUCGCCUUAUUAAGUUCGAC